GAGGAAUAUUGGUCAAUGGGCGAGAGCCUGAACCAGCCAAGUAGCGUGCAGGAUGACGGCCCUCCGGGUUGUAAACUGCUUUUAGUUGGGAAUAAAAAAAGGGACUUGUCCCUUCUUGUAUGUACCUUCAGAAAAAGGACCGGCUAAUUCCGUGCCAGCAGCCGCGGUAAUACGGAAGGUCCAGGCGUUAUCCGGAUUUAUUGGGUUUAAAGGGAGCGUAGGCGGAUUGUUAAGUCAGCGGUUAAAGGGUGUGGCUCAACCAUGCAUUGCCGUUGAAACUGGCGAUCUUGAGUGCAGACAGGGAUGCCGGAAUUCGUGGUGUAGCGGUGAAAUGCUUAGAUAUCACGAAGAACUCCGAUCGCGAAGGCAGGUGUCCGGGCUGAAACUGACGCUGAGGCUCGAAAGUGUGGGUAUCAAACAGGAUUAGAUACCCUGGUAGUCCACACAGUAAACGAUGUAUACUCGCGGUUUGCGAUAGACAGUAAGCCGCCAAGCGAAAGCAUUAAGUAUACCACCUGGGGAGUACGCCGGCAACGGUG
rnacentral:rRNA from 1 species